rnacentral:lncRNA from 1 species
GCAUGUAACACACUGGACCUUUGCAAAUUGCGAGGUUCGAGUGUUUGGUUGUAUUUCGAGCUUUUCCACACUUGGUGGAGGGUUGUAGAAUGUAUUCCGACCUAAAACGUUCGAAAACUGGAAUUCUGGACAAGUCCUGAGAGUUUUUACUCUCGGGGACCGGUCCCUGGAAUGAGAGACCGGUUCCCCCAGUGAGCAGUAUUGAGGCAGCCUGAGGCAACCGGUCCCUGGCAGGCGAGACCGGUUCCCGAACGCGUCUUCGCGGUGAGAGACCG